rnacentral:rRNA from 1 species
UGAACGCUAGCGGCAGGUUAAUACAUGCAAGUCGAGGGGCAUCAAGGUACACGAAAGUGUAUUGUUGGCGACCGGCGGACGGGUGAGUAAUAGGUAGGUAACCUACCUCAUACUGAGGCAUAGCUGGGAGAAAUUCCAGGUAAUUCCUCAUGAGGUUAUAUGACACAUGUGAUAUAAUCAAAGGUAUCGCAAGGUACUGGUAUGAGAUGGGCUUACUGACCAUUAGCUAGUUGGUGAGAUAAGAGCUCACCAAGGCGAAGAUGGUUAGGGGUUUUGAGAGAGAGAUCCCCCACAUUGGAACUGAGAUACGGUCCAGACUCCUACGGGAGGCAGCAGUAGGGAAUAUUGGGCAAUGGGCGGAAGCCUGACCCAGCCAUGCCGCGUGAAGGAAGACGGCCUUAUGGGUUGUAAACUUCUUUACUAUGCGACUAACUAGAUUUACGAGAUAAUUCUAUAGAAUGUAGCAUAGCAAAAAGCACCGGCUAACUCCGUG